rnacentral:rRNA from 1 species
GACGAACGCUGGCGGCGUGCUUAACACAUGCAAGUCGAACGGUGAAGCGCCUUCCUUUUUGGUGGGUGUGGAUGAGUGGCGAACGGGUGAGUAACACGUGAGUAACCUGCCCCCUUCUUCUGGAUAACCGCAUGAAAGUGUGGCUAAUACGGGAUAUUCUGGGUCUGUCGCAUGAUGGGUCUGGGAAAGAUAUUGUUUCGGUGGGGGAUGGGCUCGCGGCCUAUCAGCUUGUUGGUGGGGUGAUGGCCUACCAAGGUGGUGACGGGUAGCCGGCCUGAGAGGGUGGACGGUCACACUGGGACUGAGACACGGCCCAGACUCCUACGGGAGGCAGCAGUGGGGAAUAUUGCACAAUGGGCGCAAGCCUGAUGCAGCGACGCCGCGUGAGGGAUGGAGGCCUUCGGGUUGUGAACCUCUUUCGCCAGUGAAGCAGGCCUGCCUCGUUUGUGGGUGGGUUGACGGUAGCUGGAUAAGAAGCGCCGGCUAACUACGUG